GAGGAAUCAGUCUAAAAACCUUUUCGUAAAUGUUCGUAUUUUUCUUGGUGGACACAAUGCUUUUGCACUCCAGAACAGAAAUAUUCUACCGAAAGGCAAAAUGUAUAAACAUUUACCGCACAAAUACGAACAUAACGAAUGGCUUUCAAUUUAAUGCGGAUCAUCUGCAAAUCCAAUGUUGUAGGAAGAUCUGCCACUCAAACGAUAUGCGCCCUAGAAAGGAGUUAAAGGCUUGCAUAAUGAACUAAAUUCGAUUGCACGUGAAUCACAAGUGCUUAUUAUUAUUGUUAAUAAUGAUAAUUAUUUCUAUUAUAACUAAAAAAAAUUAGUAAAUAUUAUAUAUUUAAGUGAAUCACCAGUGUUCUUUAUAAACGAAUUUUUGAGUUGGCAAUGCUGCGUGCAAUUGUCAUUUCGAAUUGACAGCUGUCUCGCUCCUCCAUGGAGGGAAAAUGUUCUUGUUGUGAAAUAAUAUUUAAUGCAUUUGGUAUAUUUGUGAAAAUAAAAUUCAAUUCUUGCCAAAUAAAUAAUUCGUACAUUUCACCAUGUUGUUGGUAUAUACAUAUGUACGCAAUGUGGUUUUAAUCGUUUUCAUUAUUUCUUUACUUACACAUUCUGGGAGAGAAGGAAUAUACAAAAAUAAGCAAGAAAGUUAAUUUUCAAGUCUUUAAUUCGACAACUGAUAUUCAGGGUCUAAAAGUAAAUGUGAACCAUUUAAAUACACACCUUGUUAUUGCUAGGAAAUAUGUUUGAAGCCAUGAGUACCUGUAUGGGAUCCAUGUAAUCACUAACACAUAUUAUUUUGUCAGCUUCCGUUUCCGCUUCCGUGUUAACAUAUACAACCGGACUUCAAUUCUCCGCUAUAGCGAAGAUUAUGCUGCAUUAAAGAAGUCGAAGGAGGUCGAGAAGUUCACUUUUCUGCAAACUAUUAUGUUUUGUCGGCAACAACUUUUUAUGGAGGAGACCAAUUAGAUGAAGCGUUAAACAAAUUCUGUAUGAAAUCGAAAUAUACACCGCAUUAUUGAAAGAUUUUCUAAUAAGACCAAUGCUUUCCCCAAAAGCCAACUAUAAAAUUGUUCACCUAUUUUUCAACUGAUCAGAAAUCUAAAAAUUGUUAAAUCGCAGGAUAUCAAAACGUAAAAAUGUCCAUUUGCUUCUAUGGAAAACAGGUAGUCGACUGGCUAGUUGAACCUGUGGUUCUUGAGGUUGUUUAUAACUGAUUAAUUCGACUGCAGAAUGUAACAGAGUGUAAAUAUGCACCAUACAUAUGAAUUCGAGUACAUCGUCGAACACUCAAACAAAUAAUCCAAGAUACAUAUAUAUCAGAGAUAAAUAUGUACGACCAAUAAACAGAUCGAACCAAGGUUUCACAAUUAUUUCCAAUGCAUGUGCUAUCCCUUUCGAGCAUUUACCAAAAUGCAAAACAAUGGCGGCCAUUAACAUGUGAAAUUAGGUAUUUCACAACUUGAGAUUUCAGUAAUGGCGAAAUUGUAUUGUAUAAAUCAAGAAGCAUGCCAGCGAUGAAUUCAGUACUGGUAAAACGGUUAAUAGUUAAUUUUCGAGAAAAAAAUAAACAAACAAAAGUCCAUUCAACAUGAGAGUCCGACGUAUCGAGCCCAAUCUGGUCGUUUUGGCCGAAAAAUAUAAUGUGAACAAAAUGAUUUGUCGCAAGUGUUAUGCGCGCCUACCGCCCAAGGCCACACAUUGCCGGAAGAAGGACUGUCAUUCCAGCGAUCUUCGUCCUAAAAAGGAGCUGAAGGACUACAGACCGUAAAUAAAAAGUUGCUUGAAAAUAAAUGAGGAUAAACUACCAUACAAAUAUGGCAUGGUAUAUCAACAAUCAUGGUUAUAUAUUUAUAUAAAGUGUGAAGAAGUAGAAAAGGAAAUCUGCGGUACUUCUGGUGGCAAUCUGGAAGUUUCAAUAACUCAGUAAAAUGAAAUUCUAAUUUUUGUGCAAUGUUUUUUCAAAAAUAGAUGCCGAUCCUCGGAACACAGAA